CAUGCCUCUGCUCCUCACUGUUUGGAAUUUGCUACGUAACCAAACUGCACUCAAACUAAGCUCCAAAAGCUCUUUUUAAGACCAGCAAGGGAAAAAAUGCAACGGCACAGAAGCCUCGAUCUGACCUGAAGCCUAGGAAAAAGGAAAGCUCAUCAGCGUGAGGUCACUUGCUAAUAAACAUGCCUGAAAAAACAAGCUGGUUCACCUCACAAGAAAUGGUCAUUCUGGACUUUCAUUUCACACUUAGCAUCACUGCUUUGCACAGACUUGAAUGGCGUUUUCUUCUCUGAGCUUCUCAGCCUCACAUCUGUGGCAGAGAGAUGAGACACGUGAGAACAGCUUCUGUGCGUCACCAAAGGAGACAAGUCACUGAAAGCCUGACCUGCUUGUGAUCCUUGGCAACAAAGCUGCAGCUGGGUAAUUGAUAUGAGCUGCAUAGAGAUUUUACAUUUAGACUGCUUCCUUGAUCAUGAGAAAAGGGAUAUUAACUGUACAAAACACCCGCUCAAAGUUAAUAAGUUGUUUAAGACAGCUAGAAGAAGUUUUGCACUUCAAUACUGUAUUAUACCUUCUGGUCCUUAAGUACCAAUAACGUAGCUGUGAAUUUGAAGAGCUCCACAGCACCAUAAGCAGACUGCAGCACGGGGUCUGCUGUGGUGGGACAAGGGGAAACAGGUUCAAACUAAAAGAGGGGGGAGUUGGAUUGGACAUAAGGGAGAAGUUAUUGACAUUAAGGAUGGGGAGGCACUGCACGGGGUGCCCAGAAAGGCAGCGGUGCCCCAUUCCUAAAGAAAUCCAAGAUCAGGGGAUGGGCAGUGAGCACUGAUGGAGCUGUGGGUGUCCCUGUGCACUGUGGGGAGCAGGAUCAGAUGGCCUUGAAGGGUUCCCUUCCAACUCAAAACCAUUCAAUGGCUCUGUGACUCUUUAGUGUUGCCUCUGGUAUUUAGAAAAAGCAAAACAAUUCUAGCUUUCCAAGUAACACUCAGUGCUAGAAAGGAAAAGAACAAAGAGGUGAUAUUAGUGACAGCUGAAAGCAUCCUGAAAAACAUAACUACCAUCUUUCAGACAUUAACACAGAGGGCCCUGCUGUACACACUGCAAAGGCAACUGCAUCCACGGGCAAAUCACUUGUGUUAUGUCAUGCUAAGUCAUGUUCAGAGGAGCAAGCCACACGUGUAUUCCAGCCAUGGUUAUCCACAUUCAGACACCUACCAGCAGUCAGAUUCCGAGGCACUGCUUUCUAAGGGCUAAGCUACAGAGGUUAAGGUGGCGGCCGCAGGGCGGUCAGUAGGGCUAAGGAUGGUCAGCAGGACACACUAGGUUAGUUUCUACGUGGAGCAAGCAGCAAGCUGGAGCGUUGUGGGGCUGCCACGCUUCCCCCAAAGCUCUGUAAGCAUACAUUACCUCAAAAGAUCAACUUUUUGCUGCAGCUCGGUGCACGUGCUUUGUAAGCCACGCGUCACUGCGUUCCUCUCCUCCUCCUGGAGAUGCAUGGCAUUGGGGUUAACCAGA